CCUACGGGCGACAGCAGUGAGGAAUAUUGGUCAAUGGGCGCAAGCCUGAACCAGCCAAGUCGCGUGAGGGAAGACGGUCCUAUGGAUUGUAAACCUCUUUUGUCGGGGAGCAAAAGACGCCACGCGUGGCGUUCCGCGAGUACCCGAAGAAAAAGCAUCGGCUAACUCCGUGCCAGCAGCCGCGGUAAUACGGAGGAUGCGAGCGUUAUCCGGAUUUAUUGGGUUAAAAGGGUGCGCAGGCGGAAGGUCAAGUCAGCGGUAAAAUUGAGGGGCUCAACCUCGUCGAGCCGUUGAAACUGGGUUUCUUGAGUGAGCGAGAGGUAUGCGGAAUGCGUGGUGUAGCGGUGAAAUGCAUAGAUAUCACGCAGAACUCCGAUUGCGAAGGCAGCAUACCGGCGCUCAACUGACGCUCAUGCACGAAAGCGUGGGUAUCGAACAGGAUUAGAUACCCGUGUAGUC
rnacentral:rRNA from 1 species